CCUACGGGAGGCAGCAGUAGGGAAUCUUCCACAAUGGACGAAAGUCUGAUGGAGCAACGCCGCGUGAGGGAAGAAGGGUUUCGGCUCGGAAAACUGUGUUGGUGGUGAAGAAAGAUAGAGGUAGUAACUGGCCUUUAUUUUACGGUAAGUACUUAGAAAGUCACGGCUAACUACGUGCCAGCAGCCACGGUGAUAGGGAGGUGGCAAGCGUUGUCCGGAUUUAUUGGGCGUAAAGCGAGUGCAGGCGGUUCACUAAGUAUGAUGUGAAAGCCUUCGGCUCAACCGGAGAAUUGCAUCAGAAACUGUUGAACUUGAGUGCAGAAGAGGAGGGUGGAAUUCGAGGUGUAGCGGUGGAAUGCGUAGAUAUAUGGAAGAACACCAGUGGCGAAGGCGGCUUACUGGACUGUAACUGACGUUGAGGCUCGAAAGCGUGGGGAGCAAACAGGAUUAGAUACCCCAGUAGUC
rnacentral:rRNA from 1 species